UACGUAGGGGGCAAGCGUUGUCCGGAUUUAUUGGGCGUAAAGAGCGUGUAGGCGGCUAGAUAGGUCCGUUGUGAAAACUCGAGGCUCAACCUCGAGACGCCGGUUGAAACCAUCUGGCUAGAGUCCGGAAGAGGAGAGUGGAAUUCCUGGUGUAGCGGUGAAAUGCGCAGAUAUCAGGAAGAACACCAAUGGCGAAAGCAGCUCUCUGGGACGGUACUGACGCUGAGACGCGAAAGCGUGGGGAGCGAACAGG
rnacentral:rRNA from 1 species